rnacentral:rRNA from 1 species
AAGAGACAGCAGCAGCCGCGGGAAUACGAAGGGUGCAAGCGUUACUCGGAAUUACUGGGCGUAAAGCGUGCGUAGGUGGUGGUUUAAGUCCGUUGUGAAAGCCCUGGGCUCAACCUGGGAAUUGCAGUGGAUACUGGGUCACUAGAGUGUGGUAGAGGAUAGUGGAAUUUCCGGUGUAGCAGUGAAAUGCGUAGAGAUCGGAAGGAACAUCUGUGGCGAAGGCGACUAUCUGGGCCAACACUGACACUGAGGCACGAAAGCGUGGGGAGCAAACAGGAUUAGAUACCCGAGUAGUCCCUGUCUCUUAUAC